rnacentral:lncRNA from 1 species
AGAAAGGAAAAAAAUUAUUAAAUAUAUCAAAGAGUUACCUAUGAGUAUUACUCCCUCGUUUCGAUUUAAUUGUCGUUGUCGGAAAAAAAAUUUCGUUUCAAAUAAGUGUUGUUUUAGAGUUUCAAUGCAAAAUUUAUUAAUAAAAUUUUUCACUAUUUUUUUUAUUGAUUGAAAAAUGGUUAGAUGUAUAGGUAAUUGUGUUUUUGUUUUGGAAAUAUACAAAAUCAUAUGUUGUGUGCAUAAAAACAAUUAAAAUGAAACGGAGGGAGUGGUAAUUAUUCGAAUCGUAACUCCAUGCAGGUUUAUGAAACAUUUUUUCUUACAUUAUGCUGAAAUAAAUGACUAACGCAUGGGAGUUAUCAUUACGGAGAUAAAAUUAUGCGAAAGUUGGUAUUGUGUUUUGGGACCCAUUUAAUUUUCAGUUUUUUUUUGUUUACAUUUUUUCUUUCAUAAUCAAAAUUUAUAAAUUAAGAUUCCCAAUCAGCGAAUCAAAAAUAUUCAUACAACUCAGAGGGAUCGAUCUCCAAAAUUGAAACAAGGAAUUUCAAGACCCUAGAUGAUUUGUCGGCAAUACUUCUUCACAAUUUUUUACCGCCACCAACAAACCUUAACAUUUCGUGUGCCAACCGCUAUAAGCCAUUGCAUUUUUACGGAACAACUUUAUAACUCGGGAUUAUCCUACAGAUAUUGGUAAUAUAUUUUAGUUACAAUAAAUGCAAAUCAAAGGAUCACAA